AAAAGAAGCACACAUUGGCUUUUGCCGAUCUAGCUGCUGGCCACUCACCCUCUCACACUGCACACUGAGUGAGCACAGUGCAGGACCAGAGACAGACUCAAACAAAGCAGCGGAGCUUUGGCAGCUACAAUGUGAAAUACACCUCAGACCCACAAAAAUGUGCAAAGUAGCACUGCUUUGGAGUGUCUUUGAAUUUGAAU